AGAAGUUGUCCAGGGCUCCCUGAGGGAGGCCAGCACAAGAGCUCUGCCAUAAAAGGACAUUGGACAGAAGUGAAGAGUCCAAUCAGAAACUCUUUUUGAGAGACUGAACGCAAAGCAUUCAGAGAGUCAGCAGGCUGGAGAGGCCAAGACACACACACGAAGAAGGCAGGACACUCUUCUCCUCCUGCGGUUGGACUCCAGGCUCUAUGACCUUCAAACUCCAGGACUUACACCAGUUGCCCCUGGGCACUCAGGACUUCUGCUUCAGACUGACAGUUGCAGGACAGUGCAGCAUUUUAUUUUAAAGAUACCCCACAACGUAGGUGGCCAGUCCUGCUGCAGGUGCGGUUUCAAGCCUUUGGAGUUUGACCUUCUAGUCCAAGGUCAUUACAGCUGCAGGCAGAGGCUCCCGCGGGGAAAAGAGCAUUUCCUGGGACGCUGGAACUAAAUGAAUGGCCCACUCUCCAGUUCAGCCCUUGCCUCCUUCCCGACACAUAAAGUUCAAGAGCCACGGUCCUGAGUGCAUAGGAACAGCCCCAUCACCCUUCUCCCUCUGGGCAAGCUAGGAGCAGCGGUGCGAGGCUCCAUUUCUUCUUCUCUGCCUCCUGGACCUCAGCCACCUCUGCUCAGGCACAGGCCAGCUGCCCAGGCGUCCUCAUCUGGCGACCAGCUCUGACCGCAGCCCUGGUCUGCUCUCGGGGUCGGGCCCACACCCCUCUUCUUCCUCCUCUUCCUCCCAAGGCCUGGGCUCGGGUCCCUCUUCUCACCUUUCCCUUUCUUGCGUUGCAACCGUAACUUGGGAAAACCCUUCUUGAUCUUCCUCUCUCACCUCCUUUCAAACACAUGCUUGCAGGCUUUUUCCCGAUCUCAUCCUUAGGGCAGAUACGCUCCCUUGAUUCUGAGGUCUUUGAACUUGCUGUGAAGCCACACUACCUGCGUCCCAGGGUCUCCAGCUUGCAGAUGGACUGUGGUGGGACUUCUCAGUCACCAAGGUCGUGUGAGCCAAUUCCCCUAAUACAUCCCCUCUCAUCUAUCUAUAUCAGUAGAGAUACCAAUAUCAGUACAGAUAUAGCUCCUAUUGGUUCUGUCUCCCCAGACAGCCCUCACAAACACGGUUCCUGAACCCACCUCACACUGCUCCACCCCACACCCAGACAAACGCACACAUAGAGGUAGGCAGGUAAAUACAUAGAUCAAUAGAUUUAUGUAAACUGUGAGCAUCACGCCUGAAGAGAACUCCCUAUUUCCACACCGUGUUGCCACAGCACUCCUACUUCCCACAUCUGCCUCCAAAUUGGCAUUCUUCCUUCCAUCUCUGCUCAUAGGUCAGGCGACCCACCAUGAGGUCACACCCCUUGCCGAGGACCACAGUUUCACAGACACUGUGCCUUCCAGCCACCCCGCUGUCCUGCGGCAGCCAUGGGAAUGUGGUGUUUCAGCAGUCCUCGCGGUGUUCCUCAUGCUGACCCUGCUGAGUUCCAGCCAUCUCACCGGAUCCAGUGGCUUGGGAGUUUGGGUUCAUAAGGAUUUGAGCUCUGCUAACAUCCCUGACAGGAAAGAAGCAGAGUAGCUUUUAGGGACAAACCAUUCCAAGGAGAAGGAUCACUGCACAAGGACCCUCUCACUCUCUCCCCAGAAUCUCCCCUCUCUCUACAGUGCUCUAAAUUCUGUCCUCAUCACCCCUGCAGUGUCUCUUCCCCAUUUCUCCUCUACCAUAGACAUAGACAAAGCAUCACCCAAAAAGGGAGAGGGAAAUAUGACUGGGAAUUCUUUAGAGGUGAGUGGAGUUAAGAACCUGAGCUGGAUUCUUCUCUUUUACAAAGCAAAACUAACUAAAUACAUAAAAAUUUAAAUUUAUUUUCCUUUCUUCCUUGGUCCAGUGAAGACUGGACUCUUCAAAGUGGACUUUGGUAAAAACAAAAGAGAAAGUUAAAAAAAUUAAAUUCUAAAGGCUAAAUUUACACUAUAGAGAUUUUUAAUAACUGAAUUCUGGUAACAAGUUGGUUGACUCAAGCUAAGAUUCUUUUCCUUCCACUUCUGCUUUCUUAUUGUUGUUUUUGGUUUUAUUUUUGCAUUUGUGCUGUCACACACAGGAUUUCUCCUCCUUUCAUUUAUUUCCACCAGCAGACCUGCACCAAUACAAAAAUGUGCCCUGUUAAUAAUAAUAGCUGCUGUUUAUUGAUUAUUUACCACAUCCAGGUACUUCAUGUAAGAAUGCUAUACUGUAGCUAAUUAAGAUAAUCACAGAAAAUUAUCAAUAGGUAACUUCGGUUACUAUUUUCUACAUGCUAGCUUUUAUUCUCACUUCAUCCUUACCAUCAUGCUAGGAGGAUAGGUAUUAUUAUCACCAUUUUAGAGAUGAGAAAAGUGAAGUAAAUACUAUUAAUUUCAUUUAGAAGAUAAGUAGAUGAGGCUUAAUCACACAGUUAUUAAGUGGCAAAGACCGGAUUUGAAUCAAGAUAUCUGAUUUUUAAAAUUCACCUUGUUUCAAAGCAUUUUACUUCACCUAAGAAGUUAAUACACCUCACAACCAGAUAACUCCUUCUUUUCAAUUAGACUGUGUCUGUAUCUGGGAUCAGUUGCGAAGCAGAAGUAUGACGUGACUAAGGCCACCGCUGGGUUAGGAUACCCCCAUCCAAGGUCAGGUUCUUAACUUCACUUAGCUCUGAAGACUUACGAUUAGUUUUUCCUCUCCCAUUUUUUGGGUAGCCCUUUCUCUUCUUUUCUGUGGAAAAAUUUGUAACUUACCAGAACAGUUCACAAUAUGACAACAUUGUAGUGGUGACAUCACAGAGACAGAAGGAGGAAGAAUGGCAACCCUUGGACUCCUGGGGAUGUGGGAGCUCCUUGACCACAUGUGGUACCUCUCUUUCCUGAUCCCAGAUUGAGAGCUGUACUAGCCUGGCAUGCAGACAGCAGCUUUAGAAUCAGAUCUGCCUUCUGGCGGCUUCCCACCUAGGAGCCAUGGGACCUUUGUGAAGUCACCAAUUGUGCUGUGGAUGCUUCAUUUGUGAAGGAGAACAGGACUGCCUUGUAAGUUGCAAUAUGCGUUAGAAAUAGCAAAUAAACAGUACUUAACUCAUAGGAGGCCUGUGAUAAAUGGGAGCUUUUAUCAUAGACUGACUUUCCUGCUCCUGUUUUGCUUCUUCUUUAUGUUUAGGUGAAAUUACGGAUGGUGCUACUAAAACAUAUCAAUAAUUUGAAUUUCACUUUUGUGGAUGCUUUAAACAUCAUAGUCAUUAGAAGGUGGAUCUGGCUGAUUGUACUUUAAGUUUUCAGUUUGAGCUGGAGCUUUGUAUUAUAACAGGAGGGUACUGGACAAGGUGAGUUGCUGAUAGCCUCCCCCCACCUGCCAACAGACCUAUCAUUAGAUGGAAUGUAAUGGACUUUGGCCAGUUGUUCUCCACCCCAGCUCUGACUUAGCGGCUCUGGCAAGAAUGGAUAUAUGAGCCUAAAUACAGAGCUUGUUGUGCUACUUUUGGCUUUCCUUGUCAUUAUUUCUUCCUCUAAAUUCAACAAAUCAUUACUUCCUCUUUUAUUAUGUUUUAGUAUGAGUGUUUUAAUACCACAGAUAUUCAAAAUAAGCCUGUGGGAGACACUGGGUUAUGAGGUGAUCAUACAUUGUUCCUUUAAUUUUCAGAACAACACAAUAAGAUAGGGACCCUGUCCCAGAGAUGACUACAUUGAAGUUCAGAGAGUUUAAGUAACUUGCCCAAAGUCACAUCGCUAGUGAAUAGCAAAACGAGGAUUCAAGCCUAGGCCUGCCUAUUUUCAAAGUUUAUGGAAGGAAUUAAAACAUUUCUUAGUCUAAUUUUCUCGGAGUUUUGUUCUGCUUUGUUUUGUUUUGUUUGGCUUACUUUCUUCAUCAGCCUAAUACCUGCUUCAAGUCUAAGUGAAGCUUUCACCUCUGCCUGGAAGUCUUCCCUGUCCCUGUAGGCUGUCAGGUGGCCUUCUCCCAGCCCCCAUAGCAUCCAGCAUAGAAGCUGAUCACAGCACUUACCACCCAGUGAAAAGUGUGGGCACAGUCCUGUCGGCCCCUUCCUCCUAGACUGUGCACCCUUGGGCAGCAUGCUUUGCUUCCACAACACUUGCUACUUAGCAGGGGCUCAGGGCAAAUGUGUGGACUUGAGCUGCCAAAUUGAAGCCAUAGGUCAAUAUUAGAACUAAACACUAGUGCUAAAGUGAAAACUUUAAGAUGCACAUAGACCAGUAAUCCCCAAAUGUGUUUGCUGAGGAGUGUGUGUGUGUGUGUGUGUGUGUGUGUGUGUGUGUGUGAAGAGACUGUGUACCACUGGCUUUUUCUCUCCUGUCAUACUUUCACUCCUGAUGGACUAGGCCUAUGGAGUGUUCAUUUUUCUCCCUGAACAUUAGACAUCUCUCUGCUGCCUUUAAAUAAAAUUCCUCAUUUUACCUCUCCUCUUCUUUUCUUUAUUUCCUUUGCUUCAGACAAGAUAUGAGCCCUUAACUCACCAUAAUUAACCUCACAAUGGGCUACUGUUUGUUUCAUAUUGGAGACCACAAGAUGGAUCAGAUAAUAGUCCAAUAUUUUUGGACUACAAUUUCCAAUAUUAUUCCAAUAUUGCUGGAAUAUUAUUCCAGUAUCAUCUACUAUUUUCCCGAUAUUAUUAUUGGAAAAUAAUAGCAUAGCUAUUAUAUAGAAUAUUUACCCUGUGCCAGGGACUGUUUCAAGCACUUUACUUACAUUAACUCAUUUAAUCUUCACAACAACUUUAUGAGAUUCAUACUAUUAGUAUCAACAUUUUACAGAUGAGGAAACUGAGGUACAGAUGGGAAACUUGCUCAAGUUCACACAGCAAUUAAGUGAUCAAGUCCAAGAGCAAAACCAGGCAGGCUGGCUCCAGAGCUCACGAUAGUCCACCACUGCUUUCCACCAUCACUACGGAAUCAAGUCCAUGAGGAUACUCACCUUAUGUCAGUUGCCUAAGUUGGAAAUUAUAGAAUCUUCAAAUUGGAAGGGACGUUAUCAUCCAAGAUUUCAACUUUCUACUCACUGCAAAAUCCCUUCUGGAACUUCCCAGAUUGAUGAAUUUUCAUCAGCUCUGCUUGAGUACUCCCAGUGACUUGGAAAAAAAACACUGUAAUAUGGAUAUGAAAUAUAAACUGUUCAUGGAUAAAUUAUUGCAUAAUAAAAACAUGCCUAAUGGCUACACUCCCCUAA
rnacentral:lncRNA from 1 species